rnacentral:rRNA from 1 species
AGAGUUUGAUCCUGGCUCAGAUUGAACGCUGGCGGCAUGCUUUACACAUGCAAGUCGAACGGCAGCACGGGUGCUUGCACCUGGUGGCGAGUGGCGAACGGGUGAGUAAUGCACCGGAACGUACCCAGUAAUGGGGGAUAACACAUCGAAAGAUGUGCUAAUACCGCAUACGCCCUGAGGGGGAAAGCGGGGGAUCGUAAGACCUCGCGUUAUUGGAGCGGCCGAUGCCGGAUUUGCUAGUUGGUGAGGUAAGAGCUCACCAAGGCGACGAUCCGUAGCUGGUCUGAGAGGACGACCAGCCACACUGGGACUGAGACACGGCCCAGACUCCUACGGGAGGCAGCAGUGGGGAAUUUUGGACAAUGGGCGCAAGCCUGAUCCAGCCAUGCCGCGUGAGUGAAGAAGGCCUUCGGGUUGUAAAGCUCUUUCGCAAGGAAAGAAAACUUAUCUACUAA